GACGAACGCUGGCGGCGUGCUUAACACAUGCAAGUCGAACGCUGAACCCGCUUCGGUGGGGGAUGAGUGGCGAACGGGUGAGUAGCACGUGGGCAACCUGCCCCCGGCUCUGGGAUAACUCCAAGAAAAUGGGGCUAAUACCGGAUGUGACCGCUGGCCGCAUGGUCUGGUGGUGGAAAGGGUUUCCGGCUGGGGAUGGGCCCGCGGCCUAUCAGCUGGUUGGGGGGGGAGUGGCCUACCAAGGCGACGACGGGUAGCCGGCCGGAGGGGGGGACCGGCCACCCUGGGCCUGAGACACGGCCCAGACUCCUACGGGAGGCAGCAGUGGGGAAUAUUGCGCAAUGGGCGGAAGCCUGACGCAGCGACGCCGCGUGGGUGAUGACGGCCUUCGGGUUGUAAACCUCUUUCAGCAGGGACGAAGCGCAAGUGACGGUACCUGCAGAAGAAGCACCGGCCAACUACGUG
rnacentral:rRNA from 1 species